GGGUCUUUAUAGCAUUGAAAAGUAUUGCUAGCUAUACCAGUAACAAUGGAAUAGUAUAUAAUAACUGGAAGGACAUAUGGACAGGAACAAUAAAGGCACUUCAGUAUAGGAUUGCUGAAGACACUGGAUAUGAACUGCUAAGCACUUUAUUGCUGUUAAAAUUUAUUAAGACGGUAGAAGUGGAUGCUUGGAAAAUCAUUUGUUUGACCACACCAUCAAAAUCGGUUAUUUCUUUCAUUCGUUCACUGCUUGCUCAUCACAAGAUACCAGAGUCACUUACAAUUUCAUUACCACACACCAUCAAUGAGGACUCACCACUCCCCCUUCUCUCCUUGUCAUCAUCCUCCUCUUCCUACCAGUACAGGAUUACACUAUU